UUUAAUGAUGAUUGUGAGUGGUUACUUUGGACAUUGACCUUAUGAGUACGAUCGUCCUCGUACUCAUAAGUUGUUUUCGAUGAUAGAAUUUUCAUCCAUACGGUUAAACGUUAUCUAGAGCAUUUAAAACUUCUAGAAAUCAAAUUUUAUAAUUUUUCAACAUCAUUUACCUUACAAUCAAAAGAUCACAAAAUUGACAAUUUUUAACGGCCGGUAUAGAAUACUUGCUAGUUUAACGGUGUAAAAGAAUCGGAAUCAGUUGAAUCCCAUCAUCGAAAACAACUUACGAGUACGGCCUAAUACUCAUAAAGGUAUAAUAGCCCUACUCUCUCUCUCUCUCUCUCUCUCUCUCUCUCUCUAUAUAUAUCUUGAUAUCUUGAUAUUAACUAUAAACAAAUAUAUUUGGUAGGUUUUCCUCACCCCCUCCUACCAAGGGUAUCUUGGUAAUUUAAUAUUAGUUGAAUAUUAAUAAUAAAUAUCUUAGUAAUUUAUUAUUAGUUGAAUAUUAACAAUAAAUUUAUAUAAUUAAAUUAUAAAUAAUAAUAUAAAUUUUAAAGCUUAAUAUGAUUAGAUGAACACCCUACUAUCAACAAGAAUUAAAAUUAAUUAUUAGGCCUCAGAACUUUUCAAAAAAAAUUUACAGUAUAACAAAAUUUUUCAAAUUUUUUAAAGAAAAAGCAGUACUUUUUCUCUUUUCAUAACAAAAUUCAUUUAUUCGCAAAAUUUUAAAAAACUUAUAGUCAACUAAUUAUUAUCUAGAUAUUAAUUAUAAUGUUAUAUAAUUAACUUAUAAAUAACUAUAAUGUUGAAAAUUAUUUUAAAUUAGAGCAAUUCUUAUUUUUAAUUUAAAUUUUCUAUAUCAUUUUAAAAAAUAUUUAAAAUUUUACAAAAAACUAAACUUCAAUUGGUGUCUUAACUAUAUAUAACCUUCAUUUACACUUUUGUACCAACAAAGUUUUAAAUUAAAUGACGAAUUAUGACGAUGAAGGUGAAAAAAAUAUAGUGUAGUAGAGUUAAUUUCUUAAAACUAUUAAAACAAAGUUUAAAUAUGCAAAAUCUUAAAACAGAUAAUAUUAUUUGUUGAAUUGUUUGGAGUUUUCUUUUUCCAAACAAAAUAUAUUUAUUUAGAAAAUAAAAAAAAUAAAGUCAUCUAAUUACUAUCGAUCUAGAUAUUCAUUACAAUGUUGUAUAAUUAAAUUAUAAAUCACAAUUGACACCGUUCCUCAAGUUGAUGGAUGAAGUCAUUAAUCACUUAAUAAAUGUUCGUUUUGAAAUAAGCGUGUCCCUUCGUUUUUCUAUAAUUGUCUUUUCGUUUUCUUAAAAUGAGUUAUGAUAGUCUAGAAUUGUGUGUGUCUUUUAGUAUUUCUAAAAGUGUCUUUUAGUUUCUCUAUGAAAUUAAAGAGUGCAUUAAUGUAUAGAGAAGAUGAAGGAUCAUUUGAGAGGCUAUAAAUAUGUAAUGAUUUUAUGAUGAAAAGCAAGUUAAGUUGAGUUGAAGUUUCUACUUUCAUUUGAGAAUAAGGAUUUCUUCUUCCUCCUAUCUCUUAGGUAGAUUUUCUGUGAGAGAAGAGUGUUGUUCAACCAUUGUGUUGGUGGAUUCCGCAUAGCGGUGAGUGUGCUCGAGUUCGACGUGAUGGAUUCUACGCCGGGUCGAGUAUUUAUCGUGUUAUAUUGGUCCUAUCUCCGCGUCCCCUCUAAGUUCCGGCGUCAACAAUAAUGUAGAAAAUUAUAUUAAAUUAGAUAUUUAUAAAAUUUUACAAAACACUAAACUUCAAUUAUUGUCUUAAGGUUAAAAAUAUAACCUUUAAUUUUACUUUUAUACCAAGAAAAUUUAAAUUAAAAGACAAAUUUGAUCAUGAAGGAGAAAAAAAAUAUAGUGUAGUAGAGUUCAUUUCUGAAAAUUAAUAAAGCAAAGUUUAAAUAUGUGAAAUCAUAUAAUAGAUAAAUAUAAUUUUUUUGAAUUGUUUGGACUUAAAUUUAAAUACAUUUUUCCUUCUCUUGUAUACAAAAUAUAAUUGUGAUUUUAUUCCAAUAAACUCAUAAAUUACAGUGCGAAUUUCGAUGAGGAAGCUACAAACAAAAAUGUAGUGUACCAGAGUUAACCUUUAAAAAUCAGUGAUGUAAAAUUUAAAAUGCAAAAUCACAAAAUAGAUAAACAUAAUUUGUUUGAUUGUUUGGAUUUAAAUUUAAAUUCUAAUAGAUAAAGUUUAUUAGCUCAUGGUUGAUGUUGUGGGCAUUUUCCAUCCUCUAUUAUUGAUAGGAAGUAAAUGAUUUAUUGAAAAGAGUAUUCAUCUUGUGUAUGAUAUUCUCUAUAAGCCAAUAUUAAAAAAAAUAGUAAAUAGUUUAUAUUUAAUUUUAAAUUUUAAAAUAAUUUUUUAAAAAAUAUAAUUUUUAUAAAUAGUUUUUUCUAAUAGCACAUAUUAUAGAGGUUUAAAUUGUAAUUUUAAAUUUAUAAAUUAGAAUGAUUGUGCUUUAUAUAUAUGGUUCAACGAACUUUAUUCUUCUGUACAUUAAGGAAGGUGGUGCCCAAGAAAUGUAUGUGCUCAUAGAAAUGAAUAGUUUAUAGUUUCUUCAAUUAGUAGAGAAAGAAAAAAAUUAUGUGCAAUCCUUUUAUCUUUAAAGCAUCGGAGAAAUGGAGAUUUAAAUAUUUUCUUCUACAAACAAAAAUAUUAGAAUUUUUUCAAUUAAUAAAGAAAUAAAAAAUUUAAUAUUUGAUUUCUUCAUCGUCUUAGCAUCCGAUAAAUAUGGUGUGAAGGAUCGAGAUGUAUCUUCUCCAAGAUACGAAAAAGUUCCUCCAAGAAAUGAUGGGUUAAGAGUUUUGACGAAAAGGUAUCUUUUCUAAAAAACGAAGAGAUUUCUCCAAGAAACGAAGAGGUUGAGGAGAUAUAUUUUGUCCAAGAAAGAAAGAGAUUUCUUAAAAAAAUAAAGAGGUUGAAUAAAAAAGUGUACACUUUAAAUAAAUGCAAUAAUAAUUAUUAAAUAUUUAUAAAUUAUUUAUUUUUAUUAUUUCUCUAUUUUUUUUAUAUAAGUUGCCAUAGGCAAUGACAUCAAUUAGAACUUGAAUUUGAAGAGAAAAGAACUAUUAGAAGAAAAUAUCCUGAAUAUUAUGUGAAUUUUAAUCAAUUUGGUGAUAUUUAUUUAAUUGGUCUUCAUACACUUACUGAACAGUUAGUUUUGUAAAAUUAUUUUUUUAAAUUUUUUUUGUUAAUAUGUAUUUUUUUUGAAUUUUUUUAAAAAUUGAUUAUUUACUUAUAUUUGAGUGAGUUGUAUACAAUAAAAUUGGUACUUGUAGU
rnacentral:lncRNA from 1 species